AGUGAACGCUGGCGGUAGGCCUAACACAUGCAAGUCGAACGGCAGCACAGUAAGAGCUUGCUCUUACGGGUGGCGAGUGGCGGACGGGUGAGGAAUACAUCGGAAUCUACUUUUUCGUGGGGGAUAACGUAGGGAAACUUACGCUAAUACCGCAUACGACCUACGGGUGAAAGCAGGGGAUCUUCGGACCUUGCGCGAUUGAAUGAGCCGAUGUCGGAUUAGCUAGUUGGCGGGGUAAAGGCCCACCAAGGCGACGAUCCGUAGCUGGUCUGAGAGGAUGAUCAGCCACACUGGAGCUGAGACACGGUCCAGACUCCUACGGGAGGCAGCAGUGGGGAAUAUUGGACAAAGGGCGCAAGCCUGAUCCAGCCAUACCGCGUGGGUGAAGAAGGCCUUCGGGUUGUAAAGCCCUUUUGUUGGGAAAGAAAAGCAGCAGGUUAAUACCCCGCUGCUCUGACGGUACCCAAAGAAUAAGCACCGGCUAACUUCGUG
rnacentral:rRNA from 1 species